rnacentral:lncRNA from 1 species
AUCCCUCACCUCCUCCUGCCAAGAUCACCCCAAGCAGAAACCAGUAGGCAUAAUAAUUAGGAUCAUAACAAACUCUACCUCACGGGGCUGACCCGAAGGGAUGAUGCAUAGCAGAACACAUGGCUCAGCUGGCCAGCCGGCAGGUCUUAGCAGGUCAUAGUGGCGGAAUGACCAGCCCACAAGUCUUAGCAGGUCGCAAUGGUGGAUGCAGGAUGUUUCUGCCUGACCAGCCUCCAUUCUCACUUCCGUUUCUGCCUGGAUAUGACAAAUGUCGACCUGGAGCUGUUGGGGCCAUCUGGGCAGAAAGGCUGUCCGGGAAUGAAGUCAAAGAGAUGGAAAAAGAGAAAAAGAGGCCGGCGUCUGGGGUCAUGGUUUGAGCCCCCGAAUCCAACUGUACCUGAAGCCCUGUCUGUUUCAGAAACAGAAGGCAAUAAAUUCAGCCUUUGCCUUAAGCCCGUCAAGCCAGUCUGGGGUGCCUCUUUUUUUUAAUCAACCAAACAAAUACUGGUUAAUAAAACUCCCUGCUCAAAAGCUCCUGGCGGCUCCUUCAUGCCUGCAGGGAGAGGCCAGCACCCUGGGCUCUGGGCCCCACUUGCCUUCCUUUUUGUCCUGAACUCUGGCCCUCAUCCCUCCCAGACAGGUAUCACCCAAGACUGCUGUUUCCCAAACACACCAUGAAGACUCGACCUACAGUUUCUACCCAAACUCUCCUCCACUCCCCACUUGAGCAGUGCCUGCUCACUAGAGCUUGCCUCCUCCUGGAAGCCUCCCCACACUUCCUCCACCACUCUGAGUGUCAGUGGCAUCUACCUCCAGCUUCCCAUCACUCUGCUUAUUUCCCCAGAGUGAAAUUCACUUUUUUUUUUCUUUUUCCUCUUCAAAAAAACUUUGUCUCACUGUAUCAUUUAAGAAAUGAACAUCCUGGAUUGACUUGGGAUUUGACAAAUUCAAACUUGGUUUUAACACACCAUGUGCAUUUCCUGAGCCCCAGGCGUACCAGCAGACACAGGGCUGAAAGACCCAGGGCCUACCCGCAGGGGCUUAGAGGCUGAACCAAACCGUUUCCCAUUUGGCUCAAGACAAUGGAUGCAAAAAUGACCAUUUUUAAAAUUUUAAAUUCAAAUUUAUUUUACUUGGGGAUAAUCAUCACUGACACUCACUGAGCCAUUGCUAGGUCAUUGUCUAUGGGCAGGUCCAUGCAUAAUGUUAUUUAAUCCUCACUCUGGGAAAUGUUAUCCUCACUUACAGAGGAGGUCACUGAAGCUCAGAGAAGUAAAGGGAGCUGCCCAGGGGGUUACAGCAACUGUAGGGAGCUGACCCUAUAUUCUAGCCCUUGUUAUCCUCCCUGGCCUUUCUCAACUGUGUGCGAAUACACUGGGGCCAGCUUCGAAGUCUUUUUAACAUUCACUGUGUAAACUCGGCACCAAGCUAGCUUCCCCUGGUUGCUCACAGGCAGGUGGCUGUCCACACCCACUUCUGUGUGGGGGCCUCUGGCGUCACAUUUCACACCCCUGUUCUGUAGGCAUCGGGUUUCAGAUUUGCUGUAUUUGCUUCCGCUGCCACUACCGGUAGAUCAGAAGCUGGGGAGGUGUUUCAACACAUGAUUGUUUUGAAUAUGGUGACUUCCCCAUCUAUCCCUGCCAUGGGUAACAUCCCAGCAGCCUCUUGAUAGCAGAACAGAGGCCAUUGAGCCUGGCCAAUGAGUGAGUCUCAAAUUCUAAGUUCGUGGGGGACUCACUUAAGAAGGGUGGUUUGUUCCAGCACCUGAUCAGAACCUGUGGCUCAUCCUCUGCAAAGUGGGCAUGAGGCACCACCAGAGGCUGCGGAGUGGCCAGAAUGAGGCAACAUAUGGAGGGGGUGUGGCACACGGUAGGUGUACACUAAGUGCUCAUUCCCUCUUUUCCUUACAGCCUUGCUGCUGGGGCUACCUUUCACCCACAUGCAGGCUUACUUGCCUGCACCCCCGGCAUGGCCCAAGAACCAGUUCUCUGAGUUCAGCCAGGACUUCCAAGAACCUAGCACAGCCAGGUCAGCUCCACUGUGUAUGAGUCCUGAACCCGACCCUAGGCCCCUGCUCCCUCAGUUGCCAUUUGCCAGGCUACCUCCUCCAUUGCUCCUAAAAUCUAGCUCAUCUGCCACCUCCUCCAGGAAGCCUUUGGGGAACUCCUCCAGAUAAAAACUCCAGUGUCCCUCCUCUGGGCUCCCACAGGCCUCAGAGCUCACCCCCUUCUCAGCCCUGAGUGCCAUGUGUAGUCAUUUCCUCUUUUCUAGUCCCUUCUCCCACAGAGCACUGUGAACAUCCCCAAGACAGAAACGAUGUGUUGCUCACCACAGCCUGGGCCCUACAGCUGGCCUGUCACAGGGCUGGUGACGACCGAAUGAAAGGAAAUGCCUAAUGUUUUCUGAGCACUUGCUACAUGCCGGGCACAGAGCCAGGGAUGCCCACAUGGAGAGGGCCUGCCUCACAGUGAAGACAGUAGGAAGGAAAGCAGAGGUAAGAGUUGAAAAGUCCAAAUCCAUAUAUGAACACUGCGAUUCCGCCAUUCCCGAAGCUAGUUACCCUCCAGACUUUUCAGUUCCAGGAGGCAAUGAAACCCCUUUUCUGCUUAUGCCCGUUAGGUUUGGAUUUUCUGUCACUUGCUACUAAGACAGCCCUCACUGACCAAGUGAAGCUCAGAGAUGGGACCCAACACACCCAAGGUCACAUAGCUACGAAAGCAGUGGAACAGAAACUCCCAUGAAAGUCUGGGCUUUUUUUUUUUUUUUUGAGACAGUCUUGCUCUGUGUCCAAGGCUGGAGUGCAGUGGCACGACCUAGGCUCACUGCAACCUCUGCCUCCCAGGUUCAAGCGAUUCUCCUGCCUCAGCCUCCCAAGUAGCUGGGAUUACCGGCAUGCGCCACCACGCCCGGCUAAUUUUUGUAUUUUUAGUAGAGAUGGGGUUUCACCAUAUUGGUCAGGCUGGUCUCGAUCUCCUGACCUCAAGUGAUCCGCCCGCCUUGGCCUCCCAAGGUCUGGGCUCUUAACCACAGCCUGACCACACCCCAGGCCCGGCUGAUAGCCACUUCAAUGCUCCCACACGCUGAGUACAGUCCAGAUACCCACUCUGCCGGCGGAGUCCCCUCACCUCUUUCCCAGAAGCCACUGGAGUUACACUGGUUGGGAUUUUUGGGCAUUGGUUUGCAAGUCCAUCAGAUGGGGCUAAUGAGCUCACCCUUGCAUGCAGGUCAGAGGACAGCUCACACUGGCCUAGCCCACAAGGGACUCAGGGAAUGAAGGCCACAGUGUGGACCCUCCAACCUGCCCUCAGCUGCCUGAUGGCCUACAGGUGUUUUCUAAUAGGUGACAUGUGUCCAUUAAAAUAAAAUACAACCAACCGCUUACCCCUCCUUGCGCCCAUCUCCUUCCUCUGCCCUACUCUCCUUCACAGAACAUGUCAUCCCCAUGACCUAUCAUGCAUGCAUUGCGUUAGUCAUAUAUUGCUUGACUCCCCAACACCAAGAAGGGAAGGGAUGGUUUAUCUGAUUUAUCACCUUUGUACUCUCAGAGACAAGACAGUACUUGGCACACAGUAGGUGCCCAAUAAAUGUUUGUUGAAUGACUGAAUUAACAAAUGAAUGAUGUGCAUGAAACUCUGCACAGAGUCAUGGAGUGCUUAAAGGCUCCUGGUUACACCUGGCCAUUUCACAGGUGAGGACAUGAGGCCUCAGGAUGGGCUCCCCUGAAGUCCCCAGGCAGGCAGCAGGGGCUCUGAUCUGCUCUGUGCCUCUGCUGGGCUGGACCGAAAUGGGCCUUGAACACAGGUGUGGGCAGCCACCUGGCCAGGCUCCCCAGCUUGAGCCCUGGCGCCCAACAAAGGCAGGUUGCUGCUGGAGGUAGCUGAGCUGGAGGCCAGAGCCCUGGGCUCUGAGCUGUAACCCCUGAACCUGACCUCUUGGGGUCCUUGGGCCAACAGCCCCUGGCUCACUGGGGUCAUCAAGCCUCCCCUAACCAGCCUGAGGGGCACUGUGCCCUGGUAAAUCUCUCAGUGAGAUGGGAACCCAGAGUCACCUACGCCCACAGGGAGAUUCCCCACAGAGGCCUGCUUCACCAUCUAAGCCUCACAACAACCCCGGAAGGGAGGACUUUCGCUAUGGGUUAUAUGGAAACCCAGGCCCAGAGAUGUUGGGACAUCUGUCCCAUGUCACAUGGCUGGGGCACACUGGGGAGCUGGGAUUUGAGACAGAGUGACUGACCCCUCAGGGCACUGAGCAGCCUUCUGUCUGCAGCGUGGGGGCAGGGGUGAAGGUGCCCAUUGCUUCCUUAUCACUGGGCCUCACUUUUUCCAUCUGCCACUGGUUGGGCUCCAGUCCUAAGGAAAGGGCUAUCUGUCUUGCCUGCCCCCAAGAGCCAGGGCUGGGGUGGGGGAGGCUUGGCUGGGAGUGAGAGCUCCCAGGCUGCUCCCUGAGGCUGGGUCGGUAAAAGCUUCCUCUGACCCAUCUGUUGAACUCCCUGAUGACCCCAGUGAGCCAGGGGCUGUUGGCCCAAGGACCCCAAGAGGUCAGGCUCAGGGGUUACAGCUCAGAACCCAGGGAACAUCCCCCAACACGCUCCCAGCCCCAGGGAUCUACAGAUCCUCAAGGUUCCACUCUGGAUCAUUUCAGAAAGAUACUGAACUUGUCAGUGGGUCAAGGGGCUCCUGGGGGGACACAUACUGGGCUACUGCCAGAUGGGAAAUGGCCCCAGCGAGCCUGGGGCAGGGAAGACUUCUGCAAGGCAGUGUCUCCUCAACACAGCCUGGGGAAGCCUUGUGUUCCCUCAGCCAUAAACCUCCAUUUGCUCAAAGUUUAUGCACCAUAGGGUUGAGGGGGGCAGCAGUGUGGGAAGGAAACACACCAAAUAUGCUCCAGGAGCCCUGGGCCACUGUGUGACUUCUGAGGGCCUCUGAGGACUUCUGACUUCUGUGUGACUUCUGAGGGCCUCAGUUUACUCGGCUGUAAACUGGGCAUUGUCAAGAGUCCAUCUUUCUCAGGGUGGUUGUGAGGGCCGUAGGCAGCGACCCAACACUCCCUGCCAUCCAGGUGGGCUGCGGGGCCCUGGUUCUCAACCCUAAUGGGGCCUGGGGCUGGUCUAACGCGCAGGGGAGCUAAAGAACUUCCCCUUGCGGCUGUGGGGAAACACCUGGUGUUCCUGGGCCCAGGGCGAGCCUGUGUGCAUUCCAGGCAGUGAGAAACGGGUCACAGAAUACAGCUCUGAGAAACAGUGAAAACUCUGACGACAGCCCCCAAGACCCUCACCACGGCAGGCUGCCCUGACAGUCGCCAGCCCCUCACAGGUUUCUCAGGGCUGCUGAGGUCCCCUCCCCGGGCCAGGUGGGUGGUACUCACAGUCUCAAAGUGGAGGGGGCGGAGGUGUCCCUGGAACCCCAGUGCCUGGCCUGCCUCUGCGGCCCCGGGGGAUGAGCUGUGGGUCCAUCCCCACAGCAGGUCCUGACGUCUGACUUCCUCCCUGCUCAGUCGGCAUCCAGGAAACCACACCCAGGGGAGAGGGUGCCAGGCACCCUGGGGCCCCCGCCCACCUGCCCUCCAAAAGGCCCCCAGGCACUGCUGAGGGGGCUCCUUCCAGGUCUGGCAAACCCAAAUGGCUUCACUGGGCAGGCCCCAGUCAAUAAAUAAUACACCCACCUCCCUGGACAGUCUCUGGUGCCUGAUCGUGUUUCAGGGCCACUUAAGUUCCAGGCAGACUGCUUUGUUCAGAGUGCCGGGCCCCUUCUGGGUCUCUGGCCACAUGGGCACUGCACUGUCACGGAGGGCCAGCUGGAGCCAGCAGCAUAAAGUAGUGUGACAGGGGUCCCUGGAGAGAGGGUGCCCUACUUACUUAGCAGCUUGGGCCCAAAGGGGACCCAGGGGUGGUGCCAGGGUAGGGUGGCCAGUCUCGUCUCCCCAUGGCCAGGCAGGGCCCCCCACAUCCCCCACAGGGGUGCCAUCUGGAGAGCCGCCACCAGCCCAUCCUGACAUUGCCAGUGUCCGGGCCCAGGCCCCUCCUCCAGGA